UUCCUUUGAUUCCAUCAUUUGCUGAGAGCUUUUAACUGUGAAUGGAUUUUGAAUUGAAAUUGAAUUCUUAUAUUAAUUGUGAAUUGGUGUUGAGUUGAAAUGUGUUUCUAUGCCUAUUGAAAUGGCCUACUUAGUCUAUUAACUCGUGUGUCAGGUAGAACUGUAAGAUGGCUCCCACAUUGCCAAGCCCCUGGUGUGUGCACAGCUUCUACCAAUUAUUUAAUUAAACACUAAUUUAGGUCUUGCCAGGAAGGGAUUCUGCAGAUGUAAUUAAGACUGCAAAUCAACUGACAUUAAAACAGGGAGAUUAUCGGGGUGGGUCUGACCUAAUCAAAUAAGCCCUUUAAACCUAGGUCUAGAAGUCAGACACAGAGGAAGUCAGAGCAAUUCAAAGUGAGAACGGCAUUUGACAAGAGAGAAAUACUCAAUGCUGGUGUGGAAGAAGGUGGGCGUGGUGUAGUAAGGAAUGUGGGCAGUCUCUAGCCGUGGAGAGCGGCCCAAGGCUGACAGCCAGCAAGGAAAAGGGGGUCUCACUCCUACAACCAGAAGGAACUGAAUUCUGCCAACAAUCUUAAUGAGCUUGGAAGCAGAUUCUUCCCCAGAACCUCCGGAUGAGAACUUAGCCUGCCCAACACCUGAUUUCAGACUUUGAGGCCCUAAACAGACAGACCACCGCCCCCCCCCCAAUCCCUAUCAGCAAUCCAGGAAGGAGUGAAGCAGGGAACUCUGGUGGGGAUAGCUUAAUGCCAGCAAAUGGCCUCACUGUGGCCCAAAACCAGGUGCUGAAUUUGAUUACUGUGUGCCCAAGACCUGAAGGAUUGAACUUUCAGGAUCUCGAGAACCAGCUCCAGCACAUGACUGUAGCAUCAAUCAAGCAAGCUGUGGAUUUUCUUAGCAAGGAGGGACACAUCUAUUCCACUGUGGAUGAUGACCAUUUGAAAGCCACAAAUGCAGAACAGCUGGAUCUAAUUGAGUAUGUAAGAUAUUUUUCAGCUGGACUUACCUAUUUUCACAAUCUGUUCUCUCCAGCUCUGCAUGUUGGCCAAUUGACUUCUAGGAAGUGCAUUUCGUCUAUAACAGGUUUCAAUUGACAUCCUUUUGAGACUUAAAAAAGUUGGUUGUGUUGUCCCCCCACUACAUGACUUCUGGUAUGUGCAGGGAGUAAGAGCAGGUCUUGAUGGAGGGGCAGGGAGCAGAUGGGUCGGGAUGCCCUGAGAGUCAGGGACAGCUCAGAGAAGGCAAAAUCAGGCCCGAAGCGCUGCUGCGUGUCCACUCUACCCAGAGGAAGCUCGAUGUAGCUGGAGUUCUGCGGGGGUGGGACUGGAGUCCUGGAAUGAGAAACACCUGGUGCUCCAGGUGCCGGUGGUCGCUCAUCUCAGACUCGUCCAUAAAGAGUCUGGCUCAUGCUACCUAUCAAGCAAACCCCAAUCCUGUCAACGCCUCGCCUGCCCCACUUACAGUCACAGUGGGGGAGCUUCUCGCCCCAGGCUCUGAUCCACAAGCUGUGCAGGGGCGAGCCCACCUGGCCAGAACAGGGGGAGGCACUGUGCAUGCCCGGGCCUCAAAUCUCCAGCGUUCCCGAAGCCAAAGAUUCCAGGGCAGCAACUUGGCCUUCCGCUGUGAGGCAUCUAGAAUUCAUCCCUGGGAGACCAUCACUGCCUGUUCCUCUAGCCGGCCCCCUGGAGAACAGCCUCAGGACAUUGGUCUUUCUGAGCCAGCCCAACUACCAGCACUGCACUGGGGGAGCUGGCCCCUUCACUCAAGUCUCUGUCAGGAAAUGUUCUCUGUUGAACACCAUUCAUCCGUUGAUGGACCUCUAGGUUGCUUCUGUGUCUUCGCCAUUGUAAAUUAUGCUGCAGUGAACACGGGGGUGCAGAUAUCUCUUUGGGAUAGUGAUUUCAUUUUCUUCGGAUAAAUACCCAGCAGUGGGAUGGCUGGGUCAUAUGUGCCAAAUGGGAAAAAGACCCUGUGAUAUCUCUUUGGAAUGCCAGCCCAUCCUGCAUGUGGCAGUUCCUGAAAGUGACUCCUCCCCAGAUGCUGAGAAUGUUUCGGUCUGCCUACAACAAAUGUGGAUUUUUCAAAAGCCAUGCUGCCAAUGACUGGGCCAUUCCUCAGAAACAACAUUGAUCCCAUUUGUUCCAGAAGCAAUUCAUGGGAAAUGACAGUUUGCAUCUAAUUGUACUUAAUAAGAAGUUCCAUUUUAAAAGGGAAAAUAAAUCAAGGAUUAUUAAAUUAUGAUUAUUAAUGUUGUUACUUGGUAGUCCACACCUGUGCCUGUGAUCUAGGAACCAAAAUUUUCAUGUGGAAUUACUAUUAUGGUUACAAGUCCUUUUGAGGAA
ensembl:lncRNA